rnacentral:tRNA from 1 species
GUGCCCGUAGCUCAGCCCGGAUAGAGCACAUGCCUCCGAAGCAUGGGGCCAUGGGUUCAAAUCCCAUCGGGCAUACCA